rnacentral:rRNA from 1 species
AUGCCCAACCCUUUCCCCGACACCGCCGGCGUCGACUCGCUGCUGCGCGCCGCCGCGCGGCUCGCGCCGGAGGAGUUCGUCUUCGCCCUCCCCGGGCACUUGUACAGCCCUUGCGUCAACGUCGACCUGUCUUGCUUCCACCGCACCACCUCCAUCGAGCUGGACUCAUGUCUCCUCUUCCUCCGUGUGUCGGCCGGCGUCGACUUCCCCGCGCUCGAGACGCUGUCCCUGUCGGGCAGGAUCCCGGAUCUCGACCCCUUGCUCUCCUGCUGCCCGCGCUUGCACACACUCCAUCUCAGAAGAAUUGUGCAUGACACGAGCGACCUGAGCGUCAGCUCGGCAUUACUGCAGGAGCUUGUCGUGGACCGCUCGAACAAGCGGACAAGCCGUGUCAACAUCGUCGCCCCCGUGCUUAAGCAAUUGACCAUGUCCUUUAUCGCCUCGGAUGUCGCCAUUUCUGUCUUCGCACCGAUGGUGGAGAAGCUCCGGUGGAACUGCUGGUACGCCACCUAUGAUAGGGCAUCUAUUGUGUUUGGUAUUUGGCGACUAGAGCAGGUGACAUUAGAGAUGGCAGAGAGACAAGGACAGCUCCCUUGCUUGGAGAUUUGUGCCCACGCCAGCUCGCAUGCUUUACACAGUGAAGGGGACACCUUUGCGCAAGAGAUAGAGAAGCAUAUGAUUGCCGAGUUUUCUAUUUUGGAGCUACAUCUCAUAGCAAAUCACUGGUAG